ACGUACACUCCUACGGGAGGCAGCAGUGGGGAAUAUUGGACAAUGGGCGCAAGCCUGAUCCAGCCAUGCCGCGUGAGUGAUGAAGGCCCUAGGGUUGUAAAGCUCUUUCACCGGUGAAGAUAAUGACGGUAACCGGAGAAGAAGCCCCGGCUAACUUCGUGCCAGCAGCCGCGGUAAUACGAAGGGGGCUAGCGUUGUUCGGAUUUACUGGGCGUAAAGCGCACGUAGGCGGACUAUUAAGUCAGGGGUGAAAUCCCGGGGCUCAACCCCGGAACUGCCUUUGAUACUGGUAGUCUUGAGUUCGAGAGAGGUGAGUGGAAUUCCGAGUGUAGAGGUGAAAUUCGUAGAUAUUCGGAGGAAUACCAGUGGCGAAGGCGGCUCACUGGCUCGAUACUGACGCUGAGGUGCGAAAGCGUGGGGAGCAAACAGGAUUAGAAACCCCAGUAGUCCCAUGAU
rnacentral:rRNA from 1 species